AAAGUCGUAACAAGGUAACCGUAGGUGAACCUGCGGUUGGAUCAUUAACAAAUAAUUUAGGCCCCUGGCUGCCUCAAAAGGGCGAAGGGGGAAAACCUAAACAUUUGUGUGCACCAUAUCUGUCCUUGGCAGUCCGAGUGUCCUGGGUUGCGUAACUGCCUCAGGUACCUACCGAGGCUUUCCUUCCGGGGUUUGCCAAAGUUGGGCUGCCGCUUUUAGAACAAACCCAUUGUAAUUUAUUUUUGCCUGAAUUCGUUUGAUCUUCAUGAUUAAAUUUAAAUACAACUUUUGACAACGGAUCUCUUGGCUCUC
rnacentral:misc_RNA from 1 species